ensembl:lncRNA
CUCAAGGCGGGAGUCCAGUGUAAAGAAAAAUUCACAUAAACAUGGCAGCAGCACGAGAAGCUGCUGCGGUGACUCAGCAAACAGGCCAGCAGCCUCAUCUUCAAUCUGUGGUCCUUCUUUCACAAUCACCGACAGAAUCUAAAAAUAUGUAGGUGGCAACGCGGUCAACAGUGGGAAAUGUUAUUGUACCGCGGUCAACAGAUUAUUGUCGAAUCCUUGACGGCUCAACACUCCAGCCAACUCGACAAACGUUUGUGAGGGUGGCGAAUGAGCUAUUCCAAGACGGGACAUUUAACUGGGGCAGAGUGGUCGCGCUGUUCUACGUGGCUGUUCGACUUGUGAUCAAGGCAAGGAUGCUCACUAACUAACAAACUAUAUUUAAAAUAUACAAUUUAUAUAUUUUUGUUUUAUUUUUCUUUUUUACACGCGAGUGUGUGCGCGCGCCAGAGUCGGAUGGAACAAGGAGGACAAUCCCACUUUUGUACCAUAUUCUCUCUCUCUUUCUCUCUCUCUCUCUCAGAGUUCUUGACAGCUCAACACUGCAGCCAACUAGAGAAACGUUUGUGAAGGUGGUGAAUGAGCUUUUCAGGGAUGGGACAUUUUCCUGGGGUAGAGUGGUGUUGCUGUUCUACCUAGCUGGUCGACUUGUGAUCAAGGCAAGAACACUAAUUAACUCUGCCUUAAAGAAAGCCUUCCUUCCGUCUCCAAGACAGGAUUCUU